UAUGGCCAUAUCAUUUUGAAACACCAGUUCCCAUAUGAUCACCAGUUAAGCAACAUCAAGCCUAGUCAGUACCAAGAUUGGUCACCAACUGGGAAUACCAGGUGCU